rnacentral:lncRNA from 1 species
GCACAUUGCCUGAGCAGCACAGUUAACAACGGCCUGGUCUGCUUGCCUGCAUGGGCUGCCCCAGGUUUUGAGGAUUUGCCCAAGAGAAGUAACCCGCAUGACCCAGACACUUCAGGAACCUGCAGAAGAUCACCAUUCACACAGCUUAUUCCUGAACCACCGGGAUUCUGGAACUGGGACUUGAUCAGCAGACAGCUAUCGAUCACUGGGCAUGUGUGAGCCACUCUGGGGGAUUCAGAGAUGUCAUCUGAGAAGCUGACAGGCCCAUGGUGGUGACAAGUCACAGCCACUCGUGGCAGCUGGAGCCACGUGGGGCCGACUCUGGUGGUACAGAGCCUGCUCAGGGACCUGGGACCUGCAGAAAGGAGCCUGGUGAAGAAUCAUGGCAUCAUAAUGUGCAUGCUGGACAGUUCUGACCUGUGAGAGAGGCCCUGACCUAUGGGGCAGGGCUGCACUGAUGAGAGGGCUGACACAGUCUCGGGGAACCUGCCCUGGGCCUUAAUCUCAUAUCGAAUUGCUGGGUCACUUGAGCAUAUCACUUAACCUCUCUAGCCGUUACUUUUUUUCCCUUGCAUGAAAUGGGGUUACGUUUUUUCCUGCUGCACCCACAGUGAUCACAUUGUGGUCUGUUGCUUGUUUGACCACGUGUCUCCCCAGGCAGGCCUUGGGAGCUGCUCAGGUGGGGAAGACUCACUGUUGUCUUUGAGGUACCCAGCACAGCGCUGAGUGUCCUAGGCACUCAGUAAAUGAAUGAAUGGCGAUUGGAGACUUCUUGCAACCACUCCAUUCUUUGCCCAUCCCUCCACACUGCCGUUAUCUGGCCUCUCAUUCUUCCAAAGGGAUUAGGGUCAAUGCCACCCCGGUUCUCCAGGAUAGCAGGGAGCACCCCAGUUGUCCCCUGGCCUGCUUCUCAUCCCACCACAGCCUAUAGCUCAACUCAACUCCUCUGCUUUGAGCCAUUCUUCAACCCAGGGUCCAAGGGAGUGGGAUGAGGUGUUGGAGCCUGGUAUGAUGGAUGGGGAGAGGGGAGCAGAGGAGCGAGGGUGAGGGCUGUUUAGCUCCUUGUUGCCUGUAAGAUGUGUGAGAAACUGCUGGGUUCACUGGGCAUUGAGGGGUGCCCUUUAGCUAGCUAGAUCUGGAAUUGCUUUAGUUUCUCGGGUGCAAGAGAUCUUUUCAGCCCCCACUAAAGGCAGGC